GUCCACGCCGUAAACGAUGUCAACUAGCCGUUGGUAGGGUUACCUAUUAGUGGCGCAGCUAACGCGAUAAGUUGACCGCCUGGGGAGUACGGUCGCAAGAUUAAAACUCAAAGGAAUUGACGGGGGCCCGCACAAGCGGUGGAGCAUGUGGUUUAAUUCGAUGCAACGCGAAGAACCUUACCUACCCUUGACAUUGACAGAACCCUGUAGAGAUACGGGGGUGCCUUCGGGCCUGGAAAACAGGUGCUGCAUGGCU
rnacentral:rRNA from 1 species